rnacentral:rRNA from 1 species
UUGACCUCGGAUCAGGUAGGGAUACCCGCUGAACUUAAGCAUAUCAAUAAGCGGAGGAAAAGAAACCAACCGGGAUUGCCUCAGUAACGGCGAGUGAAGCGGCAAGAGCUCAAAUUUGAAAUCUGGCCCCCUCGGGGUCCGAGUUGUAAUUUGCAGAGGAUGCUUCGGGUGCGGCCCCCGUCUAAGUGCCCUGGAACGGGCCGUCAUA